CGGGAGCCAGCGGUUAAGGGCCGUCGGCCCCCGCGCGGCAGGUGCUGCGGAGUCUCCUUCCGGUGAGACAGCGCUACUGAGCAGGCGCAGGAGCCCCAAGAUGGCGCCCGCCAAGCUCGGUGCGGGGAGAUCCCCAGCCAGCCGCCUCCCGGAAGUGCUGGGGUGGAGGCCUGGCCCUCAGGCCCCCGCUGGGAUGUACGCAGCUCUGCCGGGCAUUGGCUGCAGCCAGUGGCCUUGUCUGAGUGGGCACAUGCCAUGAGCACAUGGACACAGCAACUGUAAUUGCACACUUAUCUCUGAGACAGAAAAUAAAUGAAGUUGCUAUCGAAUUUAUUCA
rnacentral:lncRNA from 12 species